ensembl:antisense Gm14302 predicted gene 14302
GGCAACCGAGGGGCAUUGCGCAGACGCAGUGGAUGAACCCUACACGCCAUCCAAAGGGGCCCUUGCGAGCAGCCCGGAAAUAAACUCUGCACAUGCAGUCUCGUGGGACCCCGACUUAGAGCGUUUCUCCCUGGAAGGUAAAGCCCCUGGACGUUCCCCAAGCNAAAAAUUCAGAAAGAACUCACUCCCCACUCCUGCCUUGUAAAUUUCACCAAGGACACCCGGAAGAGAAGAACUCUCCUCCCAACUCCUCCCAAUUCCCCAGCUAGCUGUUAAAAGCCCCCUACUGUCACCGCUCAGGGUCAACUCCCAGCCCCUGCACAGCAGAGGGACUUCAUCCUCAGCUACCUAAUAAUAAAACCUCUUGCAGUUUG